ACUCAAAAACAACACAAAUAUUAUCCAAAUCAUAAUAAAAUAAAACACUCUUAUCUCUUUCUUUUUAAAACUUUUGUUGUGUGCUUCAAAUCAGAUGCAGAGAAGUGAAGGAAUCAAAUUAGGUCCAGUGCUCAACAUCCCAGUUCGCAUAUUCCCCACAGGACGUGGGAAAAUCCAAGUGGAUAUUGAAUUUCCAAUAUGCAACACCUGACUCAACACCACAAACAAUUUACAGACUAAUCUGGACCCCUGAUAUUUCUCUGUUAAAUUACAGUCAGUUUCUCAUCUGGUACUAACAUCAUAAAACCAGGUUGAAGGGAAAGUAAACAAAGCAAGGCAGUGUUUUAAAUAUAUAAAUCACUGCAACUUGGUUUUGGCAUGUGUUUUGUAUUUUACUUGAGCAAUAAAAGCUGCACAAGUUGGACUAGAGAGAGAUAAAAGCAAAAAUUUUGAGACGUAGCAUAAGAUGACAAGUAUUCAGAGAUUUAAGGAUUGAGUUGAAGGAGUUGUUUUUUCUUUUUUGUUGAAGAUGAAGAAGUGUGAGCUCUGUGAGUCUCCUGCUAAAAUAUACUGUGAAUCUGAUCAAGCUAGUUUGUGUUGGGAUUGCGACACCAAAGUUCACGGCGCCAAUUUUUUAGUUGCUAAGCAUUCAAGAACUCUUCUUUGUCAUCUCUGUCAAUCUCCAACUCCCUGGAAUGGCUGUGGACCAAAACUUAGUCCAACUAUAUCAGUUUGCAAUGUUUGUGUUGGUGACAGUGGCCAUAUGGAGAAGGGAAAUAAUGGAGAAAUAAGGGACAAUGAUGAAGAUGAUCUUGAUGGAAACGAUGAUGAUGAUGAUGAAGAUGUGGAUGAGGAUGGUGAUGAGGAUGAGGAUAAUGAUGAUAUGGGUGAUGAUGAUGAAGAAAAUCAAGUUGUUCCACGGUCAUCAACUCCACCACCCCCAGUUUCAAGCUCUUCAACAACUGGAGAAUGUUCAAGUAAUAAGUUCUCUAAUGGUGAUGAGGACUUAUUAGAUUCCAACUUAGCAUUCUCUGUGAAGCGGAUGCGUCAGACUACAAUGUUUCAUCGAUAAGAUCAUCAAGUCUACUUAUCCUCUCAACAAAAUAAGAACACAUAUCCGUGAGAUGAACCGGUAGAGCUUGUAUCACUUUCAGGCCAUGGAUGACAACAAGCAAGUGCAAAAACUGAUAAUAGUGAAGGUAGCUAAUUCCUUCAAGAUCGAAGCCACAAUGUUCAAGGAGUCUGCUGAUGACAUUUUAAUUGACUAAUUGCUGUAUAAGAAAAGAGAAGGGAAUACCAUUAAAAUUAAAGAUUUUCAAGGAAAAGUGGGACCUGAAUGUGGAUAUAAAUAUAAUUGGCUCUGUCACUCUCUGUCUCCAGUCUGUCUUGACCCUUGGAUCAAAAAUCAAUAAUAACAGCACAAGUUUUGAGAGAUACCGAAAACCAUGGAACUUUAGGAGGUUGGUUGGCGGUAUUCAAAGUUAGUUGCUGCAGGCGCCACAAGUUUUGUUUGUCUCCGGUUUUGAGUCCCUUUGGUAGGAAAGUCCAUUGAUUUCCCUUGUGUAUUUUGUCAAUUUCAUGCAUUUCUUGAUUUUCAGAGAAUAAUUGAAUGGCUCGAGUUCAUAGUUGGAGUUGUGA